rnacentral:lncRNA from 1 species
UUUUCGGCACACAACUUCUGCCAGCUGAAAGGUCCUUCUGUUGUUCUCCAGUACUUCGCUGAAAUUAUUAACCAUCAUUCCUUUUAAUGCAAAGUCAAGCAGGGGAGAUUGUAGCAUAAUUAUUUACAGGUGCAGGAAGUUUAUACUCACUUGUUUGAUUUGAACAGGUGCAGAGAAUAAGCAACCCCACAGAACAGGAGGUAGUAACACUGGGGAGGUGGCAAUGAACAGCAGUACUUCUGCAAGAAUCCAGAUCUAUUGCCUUGUACCUGAAAUGUGUACCUGAGUAACCACAACAACUGACGUUCAGAAGGCUUACAUCAAACCCUGAGCUGAACAACAAAUAUAAAAAUCCCUUUUGAUAAACAUCUAACUGGUUGAUGGUGGUGCUUUAUAAAGAAGGAGAGUUUACACACAAGCCUUAUAAAAACAGAACGUGAAAUAUUGAGGAAUUGGUGCUGUCUGAGACCCCUGAGGAGAUACCAGAUAUUCUAGGAAGCUAACAGAGUGCUCAGAGCAAGUCAGUUGCAUCUUUUUUCCUCUUUUAACUCAAAAAUAUUCACCUCAGCCUACCAUUAAGCAAAUAAGGAAUGUAUCCAGAAAAACAAACAAGCUACGUGAUGACAUCUUCUACUUAACCUCUUACUGUUGUGUGAAAGUGCAGAAAAGGAAGUGACACGGAAGUAAGGAAAGCAAGUGACUGAGCAAACGACAGUGAUUAGGAUGUUUUGGCAGAAGCUGGGAGUCCUGGAUUUUAGGAAAUCUUCAGCUAAUAUUAUACAAAGUGAUGACAGUCACAAACAACAGUGGUCACACUGAAUAUGGUCAGCUACAACCCACAAUUUCAACCUAGCUCAUCAGUUGGAGCACAGUAUA